rnacentral:misc_RNA from 1 species
GAAAUGCGAUAAGUAGUGUGAAUUGCAGAAUUCAGUGAAUCAUCGAAUCUUUGAACGCACAUUGCGCCCUUUGGUAUUCCUUAGGGCAUGCCUGUUCGAGCGUCAUUUAAACCCUUCAAGCUCAGCUUGGUGUUGGGUGACUGUCCGCCGCCCCCGGGCGUGGACUCGCCCCAAAUCCAUUGGCGGCCGGUACGUAGGCUUCGAGCGCAGCAGAAACGCGAACUCGUGAGCCCGUCCGGGCGGCUCCCAGAAGCUACACCCACCCAGUUUGACCUCGGAUCAGGUAGGGAUACCCGCUGAACUUAAGC